rnacentral:rRNA from 1 species
UACGGAGGGUGCGAGCGUUGUCCGGAAUCAUUGGGCGUAAAGGGCGCGUAGGUGGCUUCUUAAGCGUGCGGUGAAAGCCUGGGGCUCAACCCCGGGUCGGCCGUGCGAACUGGGGGGCUGGAGCGCUGUAGAGGCAGGCGGAAUUCCGGGUGUAGCGGUGGAAUGCGUAGAGAUCCGGAAGAACACCGGUGGCGAAGGCGGCCUGCUGGGCAGUUGCUGACACUGAGGCGCGACAGCGUGGGGAGCAAACAGG